rnacentral:rRNA from 1 species
UGGGGAAUUUUGGACAAUGGGGGCAACCCUGAUCCAGCCAUCCCGCGUGUGCGAUGGAGGCCUUCGGGUUGUAAAGCACUUUUGGCAGGGAAGAAACAGCCUGGGCUAAUAUCCCGGGCGACUGACGGUACCUGCAGAAUAAGCACCGGCUAACUACGUGCCAGUAGCCGCGGUAAUACGUAGGGUGCAAGCGUUAAUCGGAAUUACUGGGCGUAAAGCGUGCGCAGGCGGUUCGGAAAGAAAGGUGUGAAAUCCCAGGGCUUAACCUUGGAACUGCACUUUUAACUACCGGGCUAGAGUACGUCAGAGGGGGGUAGAAUUCCACGUGUAGCAGUGAAAUGCGUAGAGAUGUGGAGGAAUACCGAUGGCGAAGGCAGCCCCCUGGGAUGAUACUGACGCUCAUGCACGAAAGCGUGGGGAGCAAACA